CCUACGGGUGGCAGCAGUGGGGAAUAUUGCACAAUGGGCGAAAGCCUGAUGCAGCAACGCCGCGUGAAGGAAGAAGGGUUUCGGCGCGUAAACUUCUAUCAACAGGGACGAAAGAAAUGACGGUACCUGAAUAAGAAGCCCCGGCUAACUACGUGCCAGUAGCCGCGGUAAUACGGAGGGGGCAAGCGUUAUCCGGAAUUACUGGGUGUAAAGGGUGAGUAGGCGGCAUGGUAAGCCAGAUGUGAAAGCCUUGGGCUUAACCCGAGGAUUGCAUUUGGAACUAUCAAGCUAGAGUACAGGUGAGGAAAGCGGAAUUCCUAGUGUAGCGGUGAAAUGCGUAGAUAUUAGGAAGAACACCAGUGGCGAAGGCGGCUUUCUGGACUGAAACUGACGCUGAGGCACGAAAGCGUGGGGAGCGAACAGGAUUAGAUACCCCUGUAGUC
rnacentral:rRNA from 1 species